UAUAAUGUUGCAAUCUGAAUAAGUCACAUUU
rnacentral:piRNA from 1 species